AGCGGUGUAGCGCAGUGGAAGCGUAGUGGGCUCAUAACCCAUUGGUCGGUAGAUCGAAACUACCCACCGCUA
rfam:Hanseniaspora uvarum DSM 2768 Contig_14, whole genome shotgun sequence.